rnacentral:miRNA from 12 species
GAUUCUAUGAGUGGACAUGGUGGGGAUGGGUUGGGUUUGGACCUGGGGAUCUUGGAGGUCUUUUCCAACCUCAAUAAUUCCAUUAUUCU